rnacentral:rRNA from 1 species
GACGAACGCUGGCGGCGUGCUUAACACAUGCAAGUCGAACGCAAAGGCCUCUUUCGGGUGGUCCUCGAGUGACCAGCGAGCGAGUAACUAGCGCGUGACCUGCCCUUGUCUUUGGGGUAGCUUCCGUAAACAAAGGCAAGUACAGGCUGGAUGCUACUGCUACACGGAGGGGGUUGGAUAGAUUCGGCGGUUGGGGUUAGUCUCGCAGCUUAUCAGGUUGUUUGUGGGGGAGUGGAUUACAAAGGCUCAGCCGGGUAGCCGGCCUUAGAGGGUGACCGGCCACAAUAGGACUGAGAGACGGCGCAGACGGCUACGGGAGGCAGCAGUGGGGAAUAUUGCACAAUGGGGGGAAGCCUGAUGCAGAAACGCUGGGUGCGGGAUGACGGGCUGCGGGUUGUAAACCGCGGUCGCUCAUGACGAAGCAUUGUGUGACGGUAGUGGGUAAAGAAGCAACGGCUAACUACGUG